UGGAUCAAGGUACACGGUGGAUGCCCUGGCAGUCAGAGGCGAUGAAGGACGUGCUAAUCUGCGAUAAGCGUCGGUAAGGUGAUAUGAACCGUUAUAACCGGCGAUUUCCGAAUGGGGAAACCCAGUGUGUUUCGACACACUAUCAUUAACUGAAUCCAUAGGUUAAUGAGGCGAACCGGGGGAACUGAAACAUCUAAGUACCCCGAGGAAAAGAAAUCAACCGAGAUUCCCCCAGUAGCGGCGAGCGAACGGGGAGCAGCCCAGAGCCUGAAUCAGUGUGUGUGUUAGUGGAAGCGUCUGGAAAGGCGCGCGAUACAGGGUGACAGCCCCGUACACAAAAAUGCACAUGCUGUGAGCUCGAUGAGUAGGGCGGGACACGUGGUAUCCUGUCUGAAUAUGGGGGGACCAUCCUCCAAGGCUAAAUACUCCUGACUGACCGAUAGUGAACCAGUACCGUGAGGGAAAGGCGAAAAGAACCCCGGCGAGGGGAGUGAAAAAGAACCUGAAACCGUGUACGUACAAGCAGUGGGAGCACGCUUAGGCGUGUGACUGCGUACCUUUUGUAUAAUGGGUCAGCGACUUAUAUUCUGUAGCAAGGUUAACCGAAUAGGGGAGCCGAAGGGAAACCGAGUCUUAACUGGGCGUUAAGUUGCAGGGUAUAGACCCGAAACCCGGUGAUCUAGCCAUGGGCAGGUUGAAGGUUGGGUAACACUAACUGGAGGACCGAACCGACUAAUGUUGAAAAAUUAGCGGAUGACUUGUGGCUGGGGGUGAAAGGCCAAUCAAACCGGGAGAUAGCUGGUUCUCCCCGAAAGCUAUUUAGGUAGCGCCUCGUGAAUUCAUCUCCGGGGGUAGAGCACUGUUUCGGCAAGGGGGUCAUCCCGACUUACCAACCCGAUGCAAACUGCGAAUACCGGAGAAUGUUAUCACGGGAGACACACGGCGGGUGCUAACGUCCGUCGUGAAGAGGGAAACAACCCAGACCGCCAGCUAAGGUCCCAAAGUCAUGGUUAAGUGGGAAACGAUGUGGGAAGGCCCAGACAGCCAGGAUGUUGGCUUAGAAGCAGCCAUCAUUUAAAGAAAGCGUAAUAGCUCACUGGUCGAGUCGGCCUGCGCGGAAGAUGUAACGGGGCUAAACCAUGCACCGAAGCUGCGGCAGCGACGCUUAUGCGUUGUUGGGUAGCUGUGAGGCAUGCUGGAGGUAUCAGAAGUGCGAAUGCUGACAUAAGUAACGAUAAAGCGGGUGAAAAGCCCGCUCGCCGGAAGACCAAGGGUUCCUGUCCAACGUUAAUCGGGGCAGGGUGAGUCGACCCCUAAGGCGAGGCCGAAAGGCGUAGUCGAUGGGAAACAGGUUAAUAUUCCUGUACUUGGUGUUACUGCGAAGGGGGGACGGAGAAGGCUAUGUUGGCCGGGCGACGGUUGUCCCGGUUUAAGCGUGUAGGCUGGUUUUCCAGGCAAAUCCGGAAAAUCAAGGCUGAGGCGUGAUGACGAGGCACUACGGUGCUGAAGCAACAAAUGCCCUGCUUCCAGGAAAAGCCUCUAAGCAUCAGGUAACAUCAAAUCGUACCCCAAACCGACACAGGUGGUCAGGUAGAGAAUACCAAGGCGCUUGAGAGAACUCGGGUGAAGGAACUAGGCAAAAUGGUGCCGUAACUUCGGGAGAAGGCACGCUGAUAUGUAGGUGAGGUCCCUCGCGGAUGGAGCUGAAAUCAGUCGAAGAUACCAGCUGGCUGCAACUGUUUAUUAAAAACACAGCACUGUGCAAACACGAAAGUGGACGUAUACGGUGUGACGCCUGCCCGGUGCCGGAAGGUUAAUUGAUGGGGUUAGCGCAAGCGAAGCUCUUGAUCGAAGCCCCGGUAAACGGCGGCCGUAACUAUAACGGUCCUAAGGUAGCGAAAUUCCUUGUCGGGUAAGUUCCGACCUGCACGAAUGGCGUAAUGAUGGCCAGGCUGUCUCCACCCGAGACUCAGUGAAAUUGAACUCGCUGUGAAGAUGCAGUGUACCCGCGGCAAGACGGAAAGACCCCGUGAACCUUUACUAUAGCUUGACACUGAACAUUGAGCCUUGAUGUGUAGGAUAGGUGGGAGGCUUAGAAGUGUGGACGCCAGUCUGCAUGGAGCCGACCUUGAAAUACCACCCUUUAAUGUUUGAUGUUCUAACGUUGACCCGUAAUCCGGGUUGCGGACAGUGUCUGGUGGGUAGUUUGACUGGGGCGGUCUCCUCCUAAAGAGUAACGGAGGAGCACGAAGGUUGGCUAAUCCUGGUCGGACAUCAGGAGGUUAGUGCAAUGGCAUAAGCCAGCUUGACUGCGAGCGUGACGGCGCGAGCAGGUGCGAAAGCAGGUCAUAGUGAUCCGGUGGUUCUGAAUGGAAGGGCCAUCGCUCAACGGAUAAAAGGUACUCCGGGGAUAACAGGCUGAUACCGCCCAAGAGUUCAUAUCGACGGCGGUGUUUGGCACCUCGAUGUCGGCUCAUCACAUCCUGGGGCUGAAGUAGGUCCCAAGGGUAUGGCUGUUCGCCAUUUAAAGUGGUACGCGAGCUGGGUUUAGAACGUCGUGAGACAGUUCGGUCCCUAUCUGCCGUGGGCGCUGGAGAACUGAGGGGGGCUGCUCCUAGUACGAGAGGACCGGAGUGGACGCAUCACUGGUGUUCGGGUUGUCAUGCCAAUGGCACUGCCCGGUAGCUAAAUGCGGAAGAGAUAAGUGCUGAAAGCAUCUAAGCACGAAACUUGCCCCGAGAUGAGUUCUCCCUGACCCUUUAAGGGUCCUGAAGGAACGUUGAAGACGACGACGUUGAUAGGCCGGGUGUGUAAGCGCAGCGAUGCGUUGAGCUAACCGGUACUAAUGAACCGUGAGGCUUAACCUUACAACGCCGAAGCUGUU
rnacentral:rRNA from 1 species